UACAGAGGGUGCAAGCGUUAAUCGGAAUUACUGGGCGUAAAGCGUGCGUAGACGGUUAUGUAAGUCAGAUGUGAAAGCCCCGGGCUUAACCUGGGAAUGGCAUUUGAGACUGCAUAGCUAGGGUGCGGAAGAGGGAAGCGGAAUUUCCGGUGUAGCGGUGAAAUGCGUAGAUAUCGGAAGGAACACUAGUGGCGAAAGCGGCUUCCUGGUCCAGCACCGACGUUCAGGCACGAAAGCGUGGGGAGCAAACAGG
rnacentral:rRNA from 1 species